UGCAGUCAUUAGGGUGGAACAAAAGAGAUGUGGCUUAUAUCAUGCAGUUUCCCCAGAGGUCAUGCCUUUGAGUAGCAGAAUCAUUUAAAAUGCUAUUCACGGAUUCACAGAAAACAGUUAGACGUGGAUUGUUCAGACAGCAUGGGCAGAAGGACUCAUGGAUGACCAUUAGGUUAUGGUGGUUUAAGGGCUCCAUACAGUAUGUGACGUUCCUUUGGCCUUGGACAAGACAAACGGCAGCCCAGCUAUAAAUUCCAGCUUUGUGAAUCUUACAACAUAGUCUUUGGUGAGAAAGAGUCAUCGAAUGGAUUCUGAGGUAUUACUUUCUAACCCCCAAACCUAAAAUUCACAAAUAAUACCUUUAAUGACAAUCCACAAAUAUGAACUUUCUGUAUGAGUAAUGUGUUCCAGUUUGAGAAGAUUUGUGUUUGAGAGGAACAGAUAUUAUGGCCAUAUAACGUGGGCAUUUAAAGGUAGCUCUGUUUGUUUCUCUUUUAUUGACUUCUUUUCGAGUCUACUUUUUCUUGCCCUGAUGACUAAGCAAAAGUCCCGCUAGUGAUUAUGUAUCAUUCUCAGACAUUAGAAAACAAGUGUCGUUCUUUUAGGUUUCUUACAGAGCGAACACAGACACACACACACAUUAUACAAUCAAAAAUCAAUAUUCUCUCCCUUAAACCUUCAAACCACUAGUGGAACAUUUUCGAUUGGUAUUGCGGUUUUGUAAACGUUUUUUAAUGAAUCUUUUAAUGGAUGAAUCUUUCUAAUUUAAUUCCAUGCAUUUGUAAAUCACUCUGUGUAAUUAUUCAACAAAUCAGUGAACAAAUCUUUUGGAGAACAGAUUUCAAAUUGUGGCGUUCAUUUCAUUCAAGCAGAUGAUUUGAGUCUUGUAUUCUUUCAGUAAGCUUGUAGAAUUGGUGACAUUUUCUCUGUACAUUAAACUGUGGGAUAAAGGAACAAAAACAUCAAAUAAAAUGACAUUAUUCACCUUUAAAAUAAUUAAA
ensembl:lncRNA